GUGCUCGCUUCGGCAGCGCGUGCACUAAAAUUGGAAUGAUACAGAGAAGAUUAGCAUGGCCCCUGUGCAAGGAUAAUUACAGUUCUGUGUUGGAAGAACCUGUGAAAU